rnacentral:lncRNA from 1 species
AGGGGAAGGGAAGAAACUCUGUUAUGUAUAACUCAUUUCAUGUUUGAGUUUUGUUUGAAUACUUUUAUGUCAGAAUAUAGAAAGAAGAUUAUUUUUUUCACUACUCUUCGAUGAUCAAUUGAGUACAAAAACUCAUCAUUUGAGAAUGACCUACAAAGAAACAUCCCCAAGAUGUUUUCUGCUGUUCUACAUUCUAUACAGAAAAGCCAAGCAUGAUUGGAUAGGGAAGGCACUCUUUGCCCAAGUGCAUCUACACACUGAUUUAGCAAACUGCAUAUGAAAGGAGGGAUGUAAACAGACUUUGACUGUGCCUAUAUGGAGAUCUUGGACCCUGUCAUGCCUUGUAUUGACCUGGAGGUCAACCAGAACAUGCUUAUUCUGGAGCAGAACAAUAAAAUGGAGAUAACAGAACAGGAACCUGAUCCCUUGGCUGAGUAUAAACUGAUGUUCUUGAUGAUCUGGGAAAAAAGAAAAGGCCCACUGAAGUUCCUGGCUUCUAUGAUGUCAUGUGGCAUUCAACUCUUUAAACUAAAUCUGUAUAAUGAAAGCAAAUUUUCCUUUUCAAGAGCCUGGAAAUGCAUCACUUCACUAAAAAAGUACCUUUUUUGUGUGUGAUAUGGAGUAUACAAACUGAUCCGUUGGAACGCAAAAUUAUAACGUACAGAUUUAUGCAAGAGGGAUGACUGCAAAGUGCGUUGCAUGAGUAGUGUAAGAAGCUGAAAAUUGCUGCUGUUGUAGCUGUCAUAGACAUGUUAUUUUCUUUGGUAUGUGUGGAGUUUUUGCUGUCAGGCUUUUAUCCUGCAGAUUGUUUGUGCUGCACCUCUCUUCCUGCUUAAAAUAGAAAAUCAGUCACUGAACCUGGAUACUAUUAAGUGUUCUUAGAAUAGUUCUUAACUAACUUGGUUGAUUUGUGCUUUCUGAUGAAAGAACAUUUGGUUGUUUAUUGCAGGCUCUGAACAAACAUGUUCUUCCAAAAUCAACAAAUAAAAUUACAUAUUGCAUUGCA